AUCAGAUUUUAAAAAAAAAAAAGCAGGAGAGAGCUCUCCUCUCCUCUCCUCUUCUCUGAAGAUGGCGAGGACUCCGGCCACAGGCCCGAUCAUCGCCCGCCGUAGGUGCCGCCGCGCCGGCCACCAUACACGGUGGCCGAAAAUCGGAAAAAUGGUGCAAGUUGGUAGUGGUUGGAAAUGGGUGUGUUGGUGAAAGACAACUGGUAAAGGAGUAGGUGGCCAAGGUGGGGCGACGGCUAGGGUUCAGCACCACUUUUCUUUGCUGAAAAUUGUUUAGGCUUGGGCUAGGGUUUUUUUUAAUUUUGGGUUUGGGUAGUUCUAAUUUGGGCUGGUUUUGGGUAUUGGGUUUGGGUAGGUUUAGUUAUUGUAAUUGGGUAGUGGGGGUUUAUUUCGGGCCAAAAUUGAGCUUGCACAAUUCUAUAGCAACGAUCAAUAAUCAUUGGUAUAUAUACGUUGUUAAUUCGUCAAUAAACAACAUGUUAAUCACAA